rnacentral:rRNA from 1 species
AACGAACGCUGGCGGCAUGCCUAACACAUGCAAGUCGAACGAUGCUUUCGGGCCUAGUGGCGCACGGGUGCGUAACGCGUGGGAAUCUGCCCUUGGGUUCGGAAUAACAGUGAGAAAUUGCUGCUAAUACCGGAUGAUGUCUUCGGACCAAAGAUUUAUCGCCCUGGGAUGAGCCCGCGUAGGAUUAGCUAGUUGGUGGGGUAAUGGCCUACCAAGGCGACGAUCCUUAGCUGGUCUGAGAGGAUGAUCAGCCACACUGGGACUGAGACACGGCCCAGACUCCUACGGGAGGCAGCAGUGGGGAAUAUUGGACAAUGGGCGCAAGCCUGAUCCAGCAAUGCCGCGUGAGUGAUGAAGGCCUUAGGGUUGUAAAGCUCUUUUACCCGGGAUGAUAAUGACAGUACCGGGAGAAUAAGCUCCGGCUAACUCCGUG